rnacentral:rRNA from 1 species
UACAGAGGUCUCGAGCGUUAGGCGGAAUCACUGGGCUUAAAGCGUGCGUAGGCGGGUCGUUAAGUACCUUGUGAAAUCCCAUGGCUCAACCAUGGAACUGCUUGGUAUACUGGCGAUCUUGUGCAACCUAGGGGCGAGCGGAACAGAUGGUGGAGCGGUGAAAUGCGUAGAUAUCAUCUGGAACGCCAAUGGUGAAAACAGCUCGCUGGGGGUUUGCAGACGCUGAGACACGAAAGCCAGGGGAGCGAACGGG